CCUACGGGAGGCAGCAGUGGGGGAUAUUGCACAAUGGGGGGAACCCUGAUGCAGCGACGCCGCGUGGGUGAAGAAGCGCCUCGGCGCGUAAAGCCCUGUCAGCAGGGAAGAAAAUGACGGUACCUGAAGAAGAAGCCCCGGCUACCUACGUGCCAGCAGCCGCGGUAAUACGUAGGGGGCAAGCGUUAUCCGGAUUUACUGGGUGUAACGGGGGCGCAGACGGCGAUGCAAGCCAGGAGUGAAAGCCCGGGGCCCACCCCCGGGACUGCUCUUGGAACGGCGUGGCUGGGGUGCAGGAGGGUCAGGCGCGAUUCCUGGUGUAGCGGUGAAAUGCGUCGAUAUCAGGAGGAACCCCGGUGGCGACGGCGGCCUGCUGGACUGCAACUGACGUUGCGGCCCGCACGCGUGGGGAGCAAACAGGAUUAGAUACCCCAGUAGUC
rnacentral:rRNA from 1 species